AAUCUGGAGAAGAGAAUGCUCCAAUAAGAUCUUAUAGCGGCUUUCCAGUACCUGAAGGGAGGGCCUACAGUAAAGCUUGGGAGGAACUAUUUAUAAGAAUAGUGUCUUGGAGAAUGUAUCUGCACUUAUAAGUAUCUACUUCCUGAGAGAUGGUGGAACUAAUUACACCAAAACUUCUAUGACAAAAGAUGGCAUAUCCUAUCAAACAAAACUAAAGGCAGAAAUAUCACAGUUUACACCUAAACAUGUUGCUAGCCAGAGGCCUUCCACAGAGAUCAUCUUCAGUUUUGGCUCUUUCUACUGCUUGAGGCAGGUGAGAGAAUGGACUUUGGACAUGUAACACUACCAAAAGCUGACAUAUGUUGGAGGAUUGCUGAGACUUGUCAACUUCUUUGAUGGCAUCACCCACAUAAAACAGAUGGAAAUGUGGUUGUGAAAUUCCUAUACAUUGAUUUCCUGUCUGUGGUAUCAGCUAACUAAAUAAAUAAGAACUUCUAAACCAUAUGGUCCCUCAACUGGUUCUUGAUUUCCUACUUUAAGGAAAGGAGAAAUGUGAGCUUUAAUGUACAUCAUUGAAUUGAAAAUUAUAUUUGAGAAGGUACUACCAAGACUGUUUCCUUAUACUGUGUUAAUGACCAAGAAAAAAAUAAAAUAAAAUAAAAACAAGAACUGUACAUUGCACACUGGCUUUAGUAAAGACAGCUGGGGACUCAUUAUUUUUCCCCCCAUGAUGUCUGUGUGUUGUGUUUUCAGAGCACCCAGUAUAUAGUCUGGCCAAGUAUGCACAGGAGGUAAUAACUUUCCAUAAAUUCAGAAAUUGAUAGGCUAGCAAAAUUUAGUUCAAUUUAUUGAUUCUGAUACACUUUAAAGAAUUAUAAAAAAUAUUGACUGCAAAUACACUCUCAAGCAAAGUUGCAGUUACAUACCAGUAUUCACUGUGAACAAUCUCUUCCACUCUGCUACCUUCAAAUUUUCCUUAUGACAGGAAUUUCUGAGCUAUAAAUGAAUCCUUUAGGAAAGGGGUGCUUUAAGAAAAUAAAUAAAUAAAUAAAAUGUUGAUACAAUAGAUUCAUGCUUAUAAUAAAAUAAUAUAAGUAUAUUUUUUUCUCAUUUUGAAGAGGAUAGGAUUUUCUAAAAGACCACAUUUGUACUAUUUUGCCUCCUGAAAGGACUUUUCUCUGCAUAUGCUCUUGAAAAUAUCACAGGCUGCACAAAUCAGAAUGCCUAGAUAGAAACAGAAACAGAAACAAAGAAAAGAAAAAUAUGUUUCUUUUUCUUUUCUAUACAUCUUUACAUCUUUUAGUUUGUUGAUGUUGUUGUUUUGUG
ensembl:lncRNA